GCCUGCACCAUCUGGUCCCCUGGGAGGUCAGUGCAGGGUUACUCCAUUUUGACAUGAAGUAAAUUCUAGAUUAGGUAUUUGGCAGUUAACUCGUCUGGAUAUAUGGGAACAGAAGUGCCAGACACGUAGAUAAUAUUUGGAGAACAGGAGCAGACUUGGAACAUGCUGAAUAGAGGACAAGGAAGCACAAGGAGGAGAUCGAGAAAAGUCAACCACUCCUUGCUUGAUGAUACAAAUUGCAUCAAGACCCUUUGUCUUCAAAAAUUCACAUGCUGAAGACGGCAUUAGUUUCCAAACUAAUAUUUCUUAUACUUCCUCUGAGAUAGUUUUUAAGACCAAAGAAGUAUUAUAGGCUGACAACUGAGAUUUUGGCUGAAACAUUGAUGGCUGAGAAAAGACUUAUAAACGGCCAUGUUUAAGAUUUUCCUGCUACUUACAUGUCUGAAAUGGAAAACAGGGGAAGAGCAUUUAGUUCAUUCAAGCUACCCUUGUGAGGUUAAAAAGAAAAUUGAUUGUGGUUUAUUAGUCCUUUCCAAUAAGCACUCAAAGGUUCAGCUAACUGAAAGCAAUUGAUACUAGUGGAAUCAAUGGUGCAGUAGAAUACCCUAAUGGGUAUUGUUGGAACUUUUAAUUCUCAUUAUGCAGUUUAUUCUUUCAAGGGUUAUUUGAUGGAGUUUUUGUUGAUGAGUAUCUUUAAAGCUUUUCUGUUUAAAUAAUUGGUUUAUGAACAGCUCUGCCCUAUUUUAGGUCAAUUUCAGAUACAUGCAUUGUGAUUCAUGCAAACAUAUAAGCAUAUUAAAAAUGAAAAAUUUA